rnacentral:rRNA from 1 species
AUGCCCCCGACCAACCCUUCCAACGAGAUUCCAAGCCCGCUACCCAUUUCGGCUCCACGCCUCUCGCUCGCGCGCGCCCCGAAUCCCGUCGGCCAAUCCUUCCACGCCCACCGCCGGCCUGCAGCUCCAUCCCUCUUGCUCGCGCGCCCGGAACAGCAUCAGCCAAUCCUUCCAACGAGAUUCGAAGCUCGCCGCCGCCGCCGUCCGCUGCUCCACCCCUCUCGCUGGCGCGCUGCCACUCCGACGACGACGAGGAAGAAGCUGACGAUGGCGAGGACGGCGAAGGAGAAGCAAGCCGGCGGAGCUGAAACAAUGGAAGUGCUCCUCGGCAGGUCACCUGAGAUUCCUAGCAAGAUGGUGAAUGAUUGGGAAAGAAUAGUCCCGGACUUCCGCAGCGGCGACGAAUCAACACUUCAUCCAGGAAAUGACCUCCUCGUACAAGCCCUGCAGCAUUAUUUUGGUAACACAUAUUUGGUGCAGCCAGUACAUGACAUGGUUGGUUUCUGGGGAUCUAAGAUGGAGCAAGCUGCAGAGUUGAUACGCCCAGGUGAAAAGGGUCGAAAAUACAUAUUUCUCCUGAAUAACACAUGUGUUGUUCGUCAAAUGGUGCGGCGUCCAGGAGCAUCUUUCCCCAAUGUAGAACCCUUGCUCACUUCAAUGAUGAAGCGAUACAAAAAGUGCUACUUGGACGAGUGUUGGGCUCCUCUCAAGUGUUUAAGCUCGGAUGAGUUUACCGCCGAAUUUCUAGCCACCUGUAAUCGCCAGAUGACGUGGAAGGUUGCAGCCGAGCUCAGGUACAAACUGCGGAAAGAGAUUUUGGAAUUGAUCGCUCCACCGUACGACGGAAGCCGUGUGAUAGACAUAGACGGGUUAUUUGAAGGAUGA